UUUAACUGAAGAGUUUGAUCAUGGCUCAGAUUGAACGCUGGCGGCAGGCUUAACACAUGCAAGUCGAGCGGGGGAAGGUAGCUUGCUACUGGACCUAGCGG
rnacentral:rRNA from 1 species